rnacentral:lncRNA from 1 species
UGGGGGUGUUGGAGGCAGGAGGGUCAUCUCGGAGGAAUUUCCAGUCAUUCUGAGUAGGCCUCACAGAGCCAGAGAGUACUAAGGCUGUCAACAGGGAAAGGCAGGGACAUGAGACACAGUCGCUGUCGCGAGUGACACGCACACUCAGUGUGAGGAGGGCUGCAGUUGUCUCACAUACACACACACUCUCACACACACUCAACACUCUCCCAUACAUUCUCACACUCACACUCUCACACACCCACACACUCUCACACCCAUACACUGUCACAUGCACAUUUACACAUUUUUACACACUCACAUAAUUCUUUCACAUACAUUCUCACACAUCCACACACUCACACACUAUCACAUACACACUAACCCUUUCCCAUACUCACACAAUUCUCAUACACAACACUCUCACAUACAUUCUCUCUCACACACACUUACUCACACUCCCUCACACACCCACAUACCCAGUCUCACACACAUAUUCUCAUACAUUCGAACACACAUUCUCAGACACCUAUUUUCUCACACACUCAUACACUGACUCACAUAUUCCCUCACAUACCCAUACACUCACAUGCACACUUUCACCCACUCUCUCACGUACACUCUCAUACACACUCACACACUUUCACAUACUCUCUCACGUGCAGUCAUACACACAUAUUCUCACACACUCACACUCUCUCACUCACAUACACACACAUGUCAGUGUUCAAGAUGGAGGAUGACAGAUGGCCACUAAUAUGCUCCUCUACCUUCCAAGGUCUCAGAAAACCAAGUAAUCCCUGGUCUCUUUCUAUAUCCACAGAGGCUGACCUAACCUGGACAACCUCAUUCCACAUCUUGUGCCAGAAGGAUGUAGAACUCACCCUCUCAGGACCUUCUAGAAACAGCAGAAAGUUAAAAUUGCCAGAGAGAAACUCAGCCUGGAACAGCUGCAGGACACCUCUGAAUCCUGUCCUCCGCCAGUUGGUGCAACCACCACUAGCCUUAGAUCCCUGCCAGAGGCUCCAGUGA